rnacentral:rRNA from 1 species
AUUGAACGCUGGCGGCAUGCCUUACACAUGCAAGUCGAACGGCAGCACGGGUGCUUGCACCUGGUGGCGAGUGGCGAACGGGUGAGUAAUACAUCGGAACAUGUCCUGUAGUGGGGGAUAGCCCGGCGAAAGCCGGAUUAAUACCGCAUACGAUCUACGGAUGAAAGCGGGGGACCUUCGGGCCUCGCGCUAUAGGGUUGGCCGAUGGCUGAUUAGCUAGUUGGUGGGGUAAAGGCCUACCAAGGCGACGAUCAGUAGCUGGUCUGAGAGGACGACCAGCCACACUGGGACUGAGACACGGCCCAGACUCCUACGGGAGGCAGCAGUGGGGAAUUUUGGACAAUGGGCGAAAGCCUGAUCCAGCAAUGCCGCGUGUGUGAAGAAGGCCUUCGGGUUGUAAGGCACUUUUGUCCGGAAAGAAAUCCUUGGCUCUAAUACAGUCGGGGGAUGACGGUACCGGAAGAAUAAGCACCGGCUAACUACGUG